CAGACAAGAAACCAGCAUCUCUUCUUUUCUUCUUCUUCGGGUGAGAGUACUAGCAAGUACUCUUCACUUCCUGUAACAGAGAUGGCUCCUUCACAUGCUUAUUGUACUUGGAAGCAUGGAAGGCCUGAAAUCCCUCAGAGAUUAGGUGUCUUCUUUUUCCCCAAAAUUCAGGGAUUUUUCCCCACAAAAGUGGCCAGCCGUUUGAUUUCUUUCAUUUGUACUGAAAUUGGUUUUGCAGCCAUCCAAUUUUCCCAUGAACUCCAUAAUUCUAAAUCAUAUUUUCAGGGAUUUGAUGUGACAGACAUUAAGUGAGUAGUAAUUUAGGUUUUUAGGUUUUAAAAAGGAAAAGAAAGGGAAGUGCCCAUAUAAAGGGUGUAUUUCUUUCUCUGAAGACCUUGCGCUUGGGAGCUUCUUCUGCCUCUAGCUUUGCUGUCUAUUCUAUUUGCUGUGCAUCUUUUGCUCCAACAAGUUGGCAUAUACAGCUCUCAGAUAAGCCAGCCUCUUCAAACAUUGCUGCAAAAAGAAGCUUAACUUUUGAAACUCCACCUACUGCUGAGAAGACAACCAUUGAAGCUGUUCUCUUAAUUGCUGGAAAAAAUGGUCCUGAAGACAACAAGCCUGCAUCUUCAAAAUCUGCUCAUAUGAGCCCUCUCAAGAAGCCACGUGAAUCUGCAAAAUGAAGCAGUCACACAGCUUCAUAUCCUCUUUUGUUCAUCCUUUUGUUCAUCAUGGAUGCUACUGAACUUUUAGCAUGCUAUCUUUUGCCAUCAUAUUAGAAUCCAUUAACAUUCUUGCUAUGACUAGAAGUUAAUGAAUCCUAAUAUAUGAUAUUAUGUAACUAUUAGCAUGCAUUAUGUAUCUCUACUUGGGACUUAUUGUACUGGAAGGUGUGUAACUGCUAUUGAAAUUGUUGACAGUUAUCUAUGAAUGGUAAUUAUGAUAUUAUG